GAGCCCGUAGCUUAGUCUGGUUAGAGCGCCAGUCUUAUAAGCUGGAGGUCGGGAGUUCAAAUCUCCUCGGGCUCA
rnacentral:tRNA from 1 species